AUUGAACGCUGGCGGCAUGCCUUACACAUGCAAGUCGAACGGCAGCACGGGAGCAAUCCUGGUGGCGAGUGGCGAACGGGUGAGUAAAGUAUCGGAACGUGCCCAGUCGUGGGGGAUAACGUAGCGAAAGUUACGCUAAUACCGCAUACGAUCUAUGGAUGAAAGCGGGGGAUCGCAAGACCUCGCGCGAUUGGAGCGGCCGAUAUCAGAUUAGGUAGUUGGUGGGGUAAAGGCUCACCAAGCCGACGAUCUGUAGCUGGUCUGAGGGGACGACCAGCCUCACUGGGACUGAGACACGGCCCAGACUCCUACGGGAGGCAGCAGUGGGGAAUUUUGGACAAUGGGCGCAAGCCUGAUCCAGCAAUGCCGCGUGCAGGAUGAAGGCCUUCGGGUUGUAAACUGCUUUUGUACGGAACGAAACGGCUCUGGUUAAUACCCGGGGCUAAUGACGGUACCGUAAGAAUAAGCACCGGCUAACUACGUGCCAGCCGCCGCAGUAA
rnacentral:rRNA from 1 species